CACGUAGGGCGCGAGCGUUGUCCGGAAUUAUUGGGCGUAAAGAGCUCGUAGGCGGUCUGUCGCGUCUGCUGUGAAAACUCAGGGCUUAACCCUGAGCUUGCAGUGGGUACGGGCAGACUAGAGUGCGGUAGGGGAGACUGGAAUUCCUGGUGUAGCGGUGAAAUGCGCAGAUAUCAGGAGGAACACCGGUGGCGAAGGCGGGGUCUCUGGGCCGUAACUGACGCUGGAGGAGCGAAAAGCAUGGGGAGCGAACAGG
rnacentral:rRNA from 1 species